rnacentral:misc_RNA from 1 species
GUCGACUUGGUUUUUGUGAAAAACAUGCACUGUUUCCUGCUAAAUGCCUCAUAUCGAUCUUCUUUGUUCAUACAUCCAACCGACAUAACAUCAAGGUAGGUAUUCUGUCGCAGUUAUCAUAUACCUCGCCAAGCAGACUUUGGAACCAGGUUUGCUGUGCAUUUUCACAAAAAACAUGUCCUCCUUGAUCAGUCAAGCUAUGACAUCAACUUUCUUUAAGCAGUGCUUCAGUCUCU